GACGAACGCUGGCGGCGUGCUUAACACAUGCAAGUCGAACGGAAAGGCCCUGCUUUUGUGGGGUGCUCGAGUGGCGAACGGGUGAGUAACACGUGAGUAACCUGCCCUUGACUUUGGGAUAACUUCAGGAAACUGGGGCUAAUACCGGAUAGGAGCUCCUGCUGCAUGGUGGGGGUUGGAAAGUUUCGGCGGUUGGGGAUGGACUCGCGGCUUAUCAGCUUGUUGGUGGGGUAGUGGCUUACCAAGGCUUUGACGGGUAGCCGGCCUGAGAGGGUGACCGGCCACAUUGGGACUGAGAUACGGCCCAGACCCCUACGGGAGGCAGCAGUGGGGAAUAUUGCACAAUGGGCGGAAGCCUGAUGCAGCAACGCCGCGUGCGGGAUGACGGCCUUCGGGUUGUAAACCGCUUUCGCCUGUGACGAAGCGUGAGUGGCGGUAAUGGGUAAAGAAGCACCGGCUAACUACGUG
rnacentral:rRNA from 1 species